GACGAACGCUGGCGGCGUGCUUAACACAUGCAAGUCGAACGAUGAAGCCGGAGCUUGCUCUGGUGAAUUAGUGGCGAACGGGUGAGUAACACGUGAGUAACCUGCCCUUGACUCUGGGAUAACUGCUAGAAAUGGUAGCUAAUACCGGAUACGACCCUCGGAGGCAUCUCCUGGGGGUGGAAAGAAUUUCGGUCAAGGAUGGACUCGCGGCCUAUCAGCUAGUUGGCGAGGUAAAGGCUCACCAAGGCGACGACGGGUAGCCGGCCUGAGAGGGUGACCGGCCACACUGGGACUGAGACACGGCCCAGACUCCUACGGGAGGCAGCAGUGGGGAAUAUUGCACAAUGGGCGCAAGCCUGAUGCAGCAACGCCGCGUGAGGGAUGACGGCCUUCGGGUUGUAAACCUCUUUUAGCAGGGAAGAAGCGAAAGUGACGGUACCUGCAGAAAAAGCACCGGCUAACUACGUGCCAGCCGCCGCAGUAA
rnacentral:rRNA from 1 species